CACGUAGGGCGCAAGCGUUGUCCGGAAUUAUUGGGCGUAAAGAGCUCGUAGGCGGUCUGUUGCGUCCGCUGUGAAAACUCGGGGCUUAACCCCGAGCCUGCAGUGGAUACGGGCAGACUAGAGGUAGGUAGGGGAGAAUGGAAUUCCCGGUGUAGCGGUGAAAUGCGCAGAUAUCGGGAAGAACACCCGUGGCGAAGGCGGCUCUCUAGGACGGUACUGACGCUGAGACGCGAAAGCGUGGGGAGCGAACAGG
rnacentral:rRNA from 1 species